UCUCUCUCUCUCUCUCUCUCUAUCAAAACAGACGCACGUAAUACCUCUCCACCAUAGCCUCUCCGCCGUUGCUCUUUGCCCUUACUACUCCACCUUCAACGCCUACACUACAGUCGGCGCUUCUUGUACAAACAGGGCUCCACUCUCUGCAUCAAACCCAGGAUAAUAUGAUAAAGAUCCAAACUGAACAUUACUCCCAACGUGGUAUGGUUCCAAUUACUCCAGAGGAGCUAUCUGUGAAGGCCCUCAAGUGAAGGUUGGGAUAUGUUAAAGGACUUGGGUUGAGGCCUUCCUUCUCUGUCAGGACUACCAGUGCUUUGACUGACAGUGACUAUCUGAGGCAUCUAGAGAUGGAAAUACAAGAGCAAAAUGAGGAAAUUCAGUCACAAAAAGAGGAAACAUGAAAUUCAAGCACAAAAAAAAAGCAAUGCAAGCACAAAAUAGUGUGAUAGGGAAGAUGAAUGAGUCGCUUGAGGGGAAUUUUGAGAUGACAUCAAGCAUCAUGGAGUUUCUUAAGAAGCAAGGUUUCAAAGGACAAUUUAGAGGAGGAGGUAUCCCAUGAAUUUGUAGAUCACCAUUUUGAUCGGUUUUUGAUGACGUUUAGAAGCAUACUUGCAAAUCAAGAAAUUCCUGAACUGA